AAGCCAGACAAUUAAUUUGUCUCUUACAAUGCUCCUAUAGAAAUUUAGAAAAAGCUGGCAAUAAUACCAUAUUAUAAGUCUUGAGGACAACGACAGUCAUUAAGGUCCCUGAAAAUGGCUACAUUA